AUUGAACGCUGGCGGCAGGCCUAACACAUGCAAGUCGAACGAGUGGCGGACGGGUGAGUAAUGUAUGGGGAUCUGCCCGAUGGAGGGGGAUAACUACUGGAAACGGUGGCUAAUACCGCAUACUAUCGGAUGAACCCAUAUGGGAUUAGCUAGUAGGUGGGGUAAAGGCUCACCUAGGCGACGAUCUCUAGCUGGUCUGAGAGGAUGACCAGCCACACUGGAACUGAGACACGGCCCAGAUUCCUACGGGAGGCAGAAGUGGGGAAUAUUGCACAAGGGGCGCAAGCCUGAUGCAGCCAUGCCGCGUGGAUGAAGAAGGCCUUAGGGUUGUAAAGUACGUUCAGCGGGGAGGCGUUACCCGCAGAAGAAGCACCGGCUAACUCCGUGCCAGCAGCCGCGGUAAUUC
rnacentral:rRNA from 1 species